ACUUCUGAUGAUGGUUCCAACUCCUCCAAUAAGUCUGCUUCAAAUGUAUGAUGUCUGUUACCAAAAGCAAACAGGGGAGAAUCACAGACAAGAGAGGAAAGACUACAGUGAAAGUGGAAGUCGUUAGGCCUGGGCUUCCGGGGCUAUAGCCCUGGUUCUUUUAUGAUUAGCCCCAGAUCUUAUCAACACCCCUCAACCAGAGGGUGGGGGUGUUGUGGGGGGCUAAGCCCUGAAUGUAUUGUGAUCUUAGUUACAUCUCUGGUUGAAGUGAUGUGCAUCUAGACCAGCACUUCAGCCAAAAUGUUAUUUUGGCUGCCUCUCAAAUCGGUCAAACCAUAUUUAUUACCUAAGAAGUUCAAGUAAAUGCGCUAGAAAUCCGUGCUCAUUCAGGUGUGCAUUAGUUUAUUGCAUGGACGGAAAGCACUGACACCUCCAGGAAUUUGCAUCUGACGGUACAUAAGCAUAUCUAACGUUAGUCUGUUCAGUGAGAGCAACGGUACCGCAGAACGAGUGUAGACUCUAUAUCUAUAGACGUUUUACACGUUUUUAAAUCUGGAAUCUUCACAUAAAAGCAACAAAAUUGUCAGACAUCCAUGAGUGCAUGUUCACAGAGGAAAACAACAGAAAAACAGCCCUGGUUGUUCUCUUGAUACUCGACAACGACGGAAUACAAAGGGCUGGGCGAAGGUAUAAUGCGUGUAUUAAAUUGUAUGAAAUAAUCCAGAAAAAAAAGCAAGAACAUGGCCGAUAUGUCCAGUUCAGCAGCUGGAAUUACCUGAGGAAGAAACGUGACGGCUGGCUAACAGCUAACAGCAGACAAACAGUUAGUGAGAGCGAGUUAGAGACCAACAGCAGUGACAAUCCACCUGUCAGUUAACGGAGUGGACCACGCCCUUAAUUAUGCAGAAAUUUUAAUAUUAACUAAACGGAUGAGUUAUAAAUAAAUUCACCCCCCUCAUAGUUGUCAUGAAGGGCAAAAUUUGUUGUAUAGACCAAAACAACAUACUGACUGCUCUGUAUUUUGCACCAUGCAUGUAACUUUUGUGGUGUUUUGUUAAUAAAAAUCCAGACACUGAA